AACGAACGCUGGCGGCAGGCCUAAUACAUGCAAGUCGAACGCCCCGCAAGGGGAGUGGCGCACGGGUGAGUAACGCGUGGGGAUGUGCCCUUGGGUACGGAACAACAUCGGGAAACUGGUGCUAAUACCGUAUAAUGACUCCGGUCCAAAGAUUUAUCGCCCAAGGAUCAACCCGCGUUGGAUUAGCUAGUUGGUGAGGUAAUGGCUCACCAAGGCGACGAUCCAUAGCUGGUCUUAGAGGAUGAUCAGCCACACUGGAACUGAGACACGGUCCCGACUCCUACGGGAGGCAGCAAUAAGGAAUAUUGGACAAUGGGGGAAACCCUGAUCCAGCCAUGCCGCGUGAAUGAAGAAGGCCUUAGGGUUGUAAAGUUCUUUUAGAUGUGAAGAUAAUGACGGUAGCAUCAGAAAAAGCUCCGGCUAACUCCGUGCCAGCCGCCGCCGUAA
rnacentral:rRNA from 1 species